UGAUUGCCUUGCUUUUUUCAU
rnacentral:piRNA from 1 species